AUUGAACGCUGGCGGCAUGCCUUACACAUGCAAGUCGAGCGGUAGAGGGGCAACCCUCGAGAGUGGCGAACGGGUGAGUAAUGCAUCGGAACGUGCCCAGUAGUGGGGGAUAGCCCAGCGAAAGCCGGAUUAAUACCGCCUACGACCUACGGGUGAAAGGGGGGGAUCGCAAGACCUCUCGCUAUUGGAGCGGCAGAAGUCAGAUUAGGUAGUUGGUGGGGUAAAGGCCUACCAAGACGACGAUCUGUAGCGGGUCUGAGAGGACGACCAGCCACACUGGGACUGAGACACGGCCCAGACUCCUACGGGAGGCAGCAGUGGGGGAUUUUGGACAAUGGGCGAAAGCCUGAUCCAGCCAUGCCGCGUGCGGGAAGAAGGCCUUCGGGUUGUAAACCGCUUUUGUCAGGGAAGAAAUCCUCUGGGCUAAUACCCUGGGGGGAUGACGGUACCUGAAGAAUAAGCACCGGCUAACUACGUGCCAGCAGCCGCAGUAAGAC
rnacentral:rRNA from 1 species